GGAGGCGUCCGUGCUCUGGUGGGCUCCGCGGUCUUCAACACCGACGAGACCAGGUCGCCUGGUCUGGCGGGUUCGAUUCCCGUCCGCCUCCGCCA
rnacentral:tRNA from 1 species